rnacentral:rRNA from 1 species
CCUACGGGGGGCUGCAGUGAGGAAUAUUGGUCAAUGGCCGCAGGUCUGAACCAGCCAAGUCGCGUGAGGGAUGACGGUCCUAUGGAUUGUAAACCUCUUUUGUCAGGGAACAAAGGGCGCCACGUGUCGCCUUUUGCGAGUACCUGAAGAAAAAGCAUCGGCUAACUCCGUGCCAGCAGCCGCGGUAAUACGGAGGAUGCGAGCGUUAUCCGGAUUUAUUGGGUUUAAAGGGUGCGCAGGCGGAAUGUCAAGUCAGCGGUAAAAUUUCGGGGCUCAACCCCGUCGUGCCGUUGAAACUGGCGGUCUUGAGUGAGCGAGAAGUAGGCGGAAUGCGUGGUGUAGCGGUGAAAUGCAUAGAUAUCACGCAGAACUCCGAUUGCGAAGGCAGCAUACCGGCGCUCAACUGACGCUCAUGCACGAAAGCGUGGGUAUCGAACAGGAUUAGAUACCCGGGUAGUC